CGAUGGAUUGAGAGCUUGCUCUCAAGAAGUUAGCGGCGGACGGGUGAGUAACACGUGGGUAACCUGCCCAUAAGACUGGGAUAACUCCGGGAAACCGGGGCUAAUACCGGAUAACAUUUUGAACUGCAUGGUUCGAAAUUGAAAGGCGGCUUCGGCUGUCACUUAUGGAUGGACCCGCGUCGCAUUAGCUAGUUGGUGAGGUAACGGCUCACCAAGGCAACGAUGCGUAGCCGACCUGAGAGGGUGAUCGGCCACACUGGGACUGAGACACGGCCCAGACUCCUACGGGAGGCAGCAGUAGGGAAUCUUCCGCAAUGGACGAAAGUCUGACGGAGCAACGCCGCGUGAGUGAUGAAGGCUUUCGGGUCGUAAAACUCUGUUGUUAGGGAAGAACAAGUGCUAGUUGAAUAAGCUGGCACCUUGACGGUACCUAACCAGAAAGCCACGGCUAACUACGUGCCAGCAGCCGCGGUAAUACGUAGGUGGCAAGCGUUAUCCGGAAUUAUUGGGCGUAAAGCGCGCGCAGGUGGUUUCUUAAGUCUGAUGUGAAAGCCCACGGCUCAACCGUGGAGGGUCAUUGG
rnacentral:rRNA from 1 species